ACGCUGUCUUGUGUUUUGCAUCUCGGAUGCUACCUUCAUACAACAAAGAUUAUCGCUGGCAUACAGGAUAACACGUGCGCCGUUGUUUUUUGUUUACAAGUGGACGGAACGAGAGCUGGUACUUUAAUCGCACUAUAGCGAUUUUUGGAAGCAUUCACGAUGUAUUUAAUGUAUUAUCUUGACGGAAAUGGUGACAGAGUGUAUACUCUGAAGAAAGUCGAUCCGAAGGGCAGACCCACGGCAUCAGCUCAUCCUGCCCGAUUUUCACCAGAGGAUAAAUACUCCCGAGAGAGAAUAAUGACAAAGAGAAGAUUUUAUUUGCUUCCAACGCAACAGCCACAGUACGCCUGCUGAUAACGCAGUCGAGUGAGGUGAAAAGGAAUGCAAACAGUGGAACACUGGUUUAUUUUGUUCGUGUUUUUGUAGUGAAUUUGUGUAAUGUUUGUUAAUUGAACAUAACGUGCUAGUGAGAAAUUGCGAACGUAUUAAAGGACUCCAUGUAGUAGUUUCAUUCUAAAAUUAUAUCGUGCUCUAAUUGAAAUAUAUUGAUGUUAUAAGGA